GGUCUCACGGAGAAGGGGGUGUUUGGCAAAGGCUGGAAGGAGGAGACCUGGGAGAGGUGUGGGGAAGAGACACCAGGUAGAGGGAACAGCCAGUGCGAAGGCCUGCGGUGGGGGUACUUGGAGUGGACGGAGAUUCUCUUUUGAGCAUCCUAUUCAUUUUUUAAAUCUCCCAUGGUGCUGUGCACACCGCAGUUAUUCCAUAAAUGUGGACGAGUGAGCGAAAGAAUGAAAUGUUGAAUGAAUAAACGAAUGCACGAGGCAUCUGAGUUGUGCACUUUAUAUUUAAAGUCACCACAUGGAAACCAAGGGGAAAUGACAUGCUCAGAAAAUCACAGAAUCAUGUUUCUACUACAGCAUAUGUACCUACCUACAUAUAUACUCAUCUUCAAGCACACAUGUGCCCAUAGGAAAUCAGAAUGCAUUUUUCUUGCAAAUUACAGACUUCAAAGGCACAACUCACCUUUUCGGAAAAUAAAGUCUGCAUUUCAGGAUACGGCCUUUGAAACAACGCUGACUGACACCAUCACCCGGGUCUGAAAAUCCAGUUUUUGUAUUUCAGAAUCACAGACUGACAAGGGCACAAGAUGUAGUAGAAAGAAAACAGCAUGAGGACUCAAACGAUCUGCGUCUGGGUUUUAUUUCUAGUUCCAUCCUCUAUCAACCUCUCUGAGCCUCAGUUUCUUCACAUAUAAAAUGGGAAUAGCGAUACGUGUUUGGCCAAUGGAAUAAACACCUCAUGUGUUGCUGA